rnacentral:rRNA from 1 species
UACACUCCUGCGGGAGGCAGCAGUGGGGAAUAUUGGACAAUGGGCGAAAGCCUGAUCCAGCAAUGCCGCGUGAGUGAUGAAGGCCUUAGGGUUGUAAAGCUCUUUUACCCGGGAUGAUAAUGACAGUACCGGGAGAAUAAGCCCCGGCUAACUCCGUGCCAGCAGCCGCGGUAAUACGGAGGGGGCUAGCGUUGUUCGGAAUUACUGGGCGUAAAGCGCGCGUAGGCGGCUUUGUAAGUUAGAGGUGAAAGCCCGGAGCUCAACUUCGGAAUUGCCUUUAAGACUGCAUCGCUAGAAUCGUGGAGAGGUGAGUGGAAUUCCGAGUGUAGAGGUGAAAUUCGUAGAUAUUCGGAAGAACACCAGUGGCGAAGGCGACUCACUGGACACGUAUUGACGCUGAGGUGCGAAAGCGUGGGGAGCAAACAGGAUUAGAAACCCCGGUAGUCCCA